GAUAUAGACAAGAAGGACAUGGGACUGUAUGCGGAUUAUUGUCGGCUUUUGAGGGGCAUAAGCUGAAGUCUGAUGGGCAGGAUAAUGACUGAAGGGUUUGUUGCUGACCUCACAGCUGAAAUAAGAGACAGAAAGACAGGUGGCAGGAGAUAAAAAGAGACUGAAGAAAAAAAUGAGGCAAAAACAAGACGAUUUCUGUCAGGUCAGGUCCUGUGUUCCCAGGAUGGAGGUUGUUUUUUCCUGCUGAUUAACAAUGACAGACCAUGUGGUAUUUUACAGGAAUAUGUCUGUCUGUCUGUCUGUCGACAUCAUAGGCAACCAGAACAGGUCAUACACAUAAUGUUGAUGUCAGCCGGCUGUUACCACAAACUACACUUGCUUCUUACAGAUAUUUUUGUGAAAUGCAAAUUUUGCCUUGCAAUGGUCAAAUGCAUACAGCAUUUCAAUAAACACAAUAUGAAGGUGCUUUGGAAACAGCCAAAACGCGUAUGAAGAGGGAGAGAGAAAGAGUAACAACCUGCAGAAGUGCACUUUAUCUCACGAGGAAACAUCUGUGCAUCAGAUGACAGGUCCGGUGGAAUGGCUGUUGUUCUUCAAGAGAAGUCAUGGAGGCAAGCCCAAGAGUACUGGAGACGGAAUGAUAAUAACUUGGCCAGUGUGAGGAGCCAGACUGAUAAUCAGGCAUUACAGCAAAUGGUUAAUGGAAAUGUGCCAUCGCUGUCCUUGGACUGGAUCGCUUUGUUCAGAGAUGAGUGGGAAUGGUCGGACCAGAGUGACAGUUCCUUCAGAGACUGGGAGGGCUCUCAGCCAAAGGAUGGACACUGCAGUGUAGGCCCUCUGCCAAGAAGUGGUUUGACAGAGACUCUCCCUUCUCCUGCUGUAACUAUCCAACAAAAAUAUGAGGGGGCCAAGCUUCAGUGGAGAGUCCAGCCAGAUG